CAGAUGCUGAAUGCUGUUCUGUCCAGAUGACAAAACUGCAGAAAUACAGCUGUUGCUGUAUCUCGGGAGUAUCAAAGGAGGCAUCAACCAAAGUGGACAAAUUUACUCUGACAUUUAAACACUUCUUGUUGUGUGAGGAAUGAAAGAAAUGUACUCCAAAGACUUCCUGGCAAAUUAAGUGGAAGGAACUUCUUGUGCCUUUUUGAUACAAAACGUUUUAGCAGAUGAGAAACACUGUGUUCUUUUGUGAAGUCACACAUCCUUGAGUACUGUGCUGACAUCUUGCAAAAUGAAGCCAUCAGCAAUGUUUGAGUGUGAGCAUCCAUGUCCCAGCUGAGGCUUUAUUAUACUCUACAGCCAGGCAGGCAUUGUAUCCAUGGCCUUUCUCAUGCUUCCCUCUAGGCAAGGAGGCUUUGGCAUAUUUGAUCUAUAACUAACCACGACUCACAAAGCCUUUAACUUAUCAAGACUGCUGUCAUAUGUA